GAUCAGGUGGUGUAGUGGUAACACCCUCACUAUAUAUGAAGACCCUGGGUUCAAUUCCCAGUCUAGCCA